UAACAGCCUCGAAAACACGAAAGGUCGAACGCCGCCCGUGAAAUUCUACAGAUUUCCGGGGAAGUGGUACGAGAAGGUCAGACGACAAGCAUGGAUAAUUGCAGUGCGCCGAGUCAAUGCUGAUGACACUCCCUGGGAGCCAUCCAAAAGCAUGCGAAUUUACAAAAACAAGCAGGCUUUGCGAAGCGAAGACAUCGAUAACGCUUGCCGUUGUUCGCUGACAGCUCUGCGCAAAUCAGAACGAACACAAACGUGUAAUUUACUAAUGCUCCAGCCAAGAAAUUUAGCAGCAAAAGGCGGAAGCACAAAAUGAGAGCAGCCGUGUGCGCGCACUCAGCUACCGAGGAAACUAACGGCAAUCGUCACCGUCCCUCCACAUCUCUGCAAGUAUGCAUGACCGCUUUGUGCCUGCAUCAUAUAGAAAUAAAGUGGCUAAACUUCUGAA